UCAUGUGAAUAUGUUAUGUGACCUACGCCAUGUGACCUCAUGUAACAGGUGUGGAUGUUACAGGUGGUGUGAUGUGUGCAGGUAGAUGAGAGCAUGUUACAGGUAGAUGAGAGGAUGUUACAGGUGGUGUGAUGUGUGCAGGUAGAUGAGAGCAUGUUACAGGUAGAUGAGAGGAUGUUACAGGUGGUGUAAUGUGUGCAGGUAGAUGAGAGGAUGUUACAGGUGGUGUAAUGUGU